rnacentral:rRNA from 1 species
CCGGUGCUGGAAGGUUAAGGGAUCUGUUAGAGCAAUCGAAGCAGUGAACUUAAGCCCCAGUAAACGGCGGCCGUAACUAUAACGGUCCUAAGGUAGCGAAAUUCCUUGUCGGGUAAGUUCCGACCCGCACGAAAGGCGUAACGAUUUGGGCACUGUCUCAACAACAGACUCGGUGAAAUUGUAAUUCCGGUGAAGAUGCCGGAUACCUGCGACAGGACGGAAAGACCCCAUGGAGCUUUACUGUAGCUUGACAUUGGGUCUUGGUACUACAUGUACAGGAUAGGUGGGAGGCUUUGAAACCAGGACGCCAGUUUUGGCGGAGCCAUCCUUGGGAUACCACCCUUGUAGUACUGGGACUCUAACCAUAGGCCAUGAAUCUGGUCUUGGGACACUGUCAGGUGGGCAGUUUGACUGGGGCGGUCGCCUCCCAAAAGGUAACGGAGGCGCUCAAAGGUUCUCUCAGUACGGUCGGAAAUCGUACGUAGAGUGUAAAGGCAAAAGAGAGCUUGAUUGCAAGACAUACAGGUCGAGCAAGGAUGAAAAUCGGACUUAGUGAUCCGGUGGUUCUGCGUGGAAGGGCCAUCGCUCAACGGAUAAAAGCUACCCUGGGGAUAACAGGCUUAUCUCCCCCAAGAGUCCACAUCGACGGGGAGGUUUGGCACCUCGAUGUCGGCUCAUCACAUCCUGGGGCUGUAGUAGGUCCCAAGGGUUGGGCUGUUCGCCCAUUAAAGUGGUACGCGAGCUGGGUUCAGAACGUCGUGAGACAGUUCGGUCCCUAUCCGUCGCAGGCGUAGGAAAUUUGAGAAGACCUGUCCUUAGUACGAGAGGACCGGGAUGGACGUACCUCUGGUGUACCAGUUGUCCUGCCAAGGGCAUGGCUGGGUAGCUAUGUACGGAAUGGAUAAGCGCUGAAAGCAUCUAAGCGCGAAGCCAACUUCAAGAUAAGAUUUCCCACCGCAAGGGUAAGACUCCAGAAAGACUAUCUGGUUGAUAGGUCGAAGGUGUAAGUGCAGCAAUGUAUUUAGCUUAUCGAUACUAAUAGGUCGAGGACUUGACCAAU